rnacentral:piRNA from 1 species
UGAGGCAAGGGAGGAGCAGCCUGUCAG